GGCUCAUACGGGGGGCAGCAGUGAGGAAUAUUGGUCAAUGGCCGGAAGGCUGAACCAGCCAAGCCGCGUGAGGGAGGAAGGCGCAGAGCGUCGCGGACCUCUUUUGCCGGGGGACAAAAGGCCGGACUCGUCCGGUCCUGAGGGUACCCGGAGAAAAAGCAUCGGCUAACUCCGUGCCAGCAGCCGCGGUAAUACGGAGGAUGCGAGCGUUAUCCGGAUUUAUUGGGUUUAAAGGGAGCGUAGGCCGGCUUUUAAGUCAGCCGUGAAAGUCCGCGGCUCAACCGUGGAAUUGCAGUUGAAACUGG
rnacentral:rRNA from 1 species